rnacentral:rRNA from 1 species
ACGAACGCUGGCGGCGUGCUUAACACAUGCAAGUCGAACGCAGAGCGAUGGAAGCUUGCUUCUAUCAAUCUUAGUGGCGAACGGGUGAGUAACGCGUAAUCAACCUGCCCUUCAGAGGGGGACAACAGUUGGAAACGACUGCUAAUACCGCAUACGAUCUAAUCUCGGCAUCGAGGAUAGAUGAAAGGUGGCCUCUACAUGUAAGCUAUCACUGAAGGAGGGGAUUGCGUCUGAUUAGCUAGUUGGAGGGGUAACGGCCCACCAAGGCGAUGAUCAGUAGCCGGUCUGAGAGGAUGAACGGCCACAUUGGGACUGAGACACGGCCCAGACUCCUACGGGAGGCAGCAGUGGGGAAUCUUCCGCAAUGGACGAAAGUCUGACGGAGCAACGCCGCGUGAGCGAUGACGGCCUUCGGGUUGUAAAGCUCUGUUAAUCGGGACGAAAGGCCUUCUUGCGAAUAGUGAGAAGGAUUGACGGUACCGGAAUAGAAAGCCACGGCUAACUACGUG